CCGGAGCGGCCAGGCCGCCGUCUGCCCGUCCCGCUGGACGUCCCGCGGUCCGCCCUCCCGUGCGUCCGUCUGCCGGUGAGCCCGCCCGCCCGCCGGCCCAGACAGAGAACAGAAGCUCAGAGAAGUGAAGCAACUUGCCCAGCUAUGAGAGACAGAGCCAGGAUUUGAAACCAGUGAGGACGCUGAGGCCCAGAGAGGGAAAGCCACUUGCCUAGGGACACACAGCGGGGAGAGGUGGAGCAGGGCCUCUAUUUCGAGACCCCUGACUCCACACCUGGUGUUUGUGCCAAGACCCCAGGCUGCCUCCCAGGUCCUCUGGGACAGCCCCUGCCUUCUACCAGGUGAGAU
rnacentral:lncRNA from 10 species